UACGUAGGGUGCAAGCGUUGUCCGGAAUUAUUGGGCGUAAAGAGCUCGUAGGCGGUUUGUCGCGUCGGCUGUGAAAACCUGGGGCUCAACCCCGGCCUGCAGCCGAUACGGGCAAACUAGAAUUCGGUAGGGGAGACUGGAAUUCCUGGUGUAGCGGUGAAAUGCGCAGAUAUCAGGAGGAACACCGGUGGCGAAGGCGGGUCUCUGGGCCGAUACUGACGCUGAGGAGCGAAAGCGUGGGGAGCGAACAGG
rnacentral:rRNA from 1 species